GUGUCCUUGCCUGAUUUUGGUAUCAGGGAGAUACUGGUUUCAUAGAAUGAGUUAGACUGAAGACUCUUGAGUCAGAAUCCCCAGCUUCAAAUCCUAGCAUCUCCACUCAUGUCCAUGUGACCAUGGGCAAUCUCCUCCACACCUUCAAGCGUCUGCAUGAUGUGGAUAUGAGGUUUAAGACCAGAAAGACUGACUCCAGAGCCCAGGCUCUCAACCAUCAUACCAACUGGCCUCCUUUUGUUGAAGGCUGAGGACCAUAUGGCAAGCAUGAAGACAAUAUGAUUGGCACCUUGGUUCUGUUUGAAUCGUCCUCAUAUUACAAAUCUCCACUCUGAUUUACUUUGUGUAUUAUUAAACACGCACCAUAUAUUGUUUUUUGCUGG
rnacentral:lncRNA from 1 species